UACGUAGGUGACAAGCGUUGUCCGGAUUUACUGGGCGUAAAGAGCGCGCAGGCGGUCGAUCAAGUCGAGUGUGAAAGCCCCCGGCUCAACUGGGGAGGGUCAUUCGAUACUGAUCGACUCGAAGGCAGGAGAGGGUAGUGGAAUUCCCGGUGUAGUGGUGAAAUGCGUAGAUAUCGGGAGGAACACCAGUGGCGAAGGCGGCGAUCUGGGAAGAUACUGACGCUGAGGUGCGAAAGCGUGGGGAGCAGACAGG
rnacentral:rRNA from 1 species